rnacentral:rRNA from 1 species
CCUACGGGAGGCAGCAGUGAGGAAUAUUGGUCAAUGGACGGAAGUCUGAACCAGCCAUGCCGCGUGCAGGAAGACGGCUCUAUGAGUUGUAAACUGCUUUUGUACAAGGGUAAACCUGAAUACGUGUAUUCAGCUGAAAGUACUGUACGAAUAAGGAUCGGCUAACUCCGUGCCAGCAGCCGCGGUAAUACGGAGGAUCCAAGCGUUAUCCGGAUUUAUUGGGGUUAAAGGGUGCGUAGGCGGAUUGAUAAGUUAGAGGUGAAAUGUCCGAGCUUAACUCGGGAACUGACUCUAAUACUUUUGAUCUAGAGAGUAGAUGCGGUAGGCGGAAUGUAUGGUGUAGCGGGGAAAUGCUUAGAGAUCAUACAGAACACCGAUUGCGAAGGCAGCUUACCAAUCUAUAUCUGACGUUGAGGCACGAAAGCGUGGGGAGCAAACAGGAUUAGAUACCCCGGUAGUC